UACGAAGGGGGCUAGCGUUGUUCGGAAUUACUGGGCGUAAAGCGCGCGCAGGCGGCUAUCCAAGUCAGUGGUGAAAGCCCGGAGCUCAACUCCGGAACUGCCAUUGAAACUGUUUAGCUUGAGGAUGAGAGAGGUGAGUGGAAUUCCCAGUGUAGAGGUGAAAUUCGUAGAUAUUGGGAAGAACACCGGUGGCGAAGGCGGCUCACUGGCUCAUCACUGACGCUCAGGCGCGAUAGCGUGGGGAUCAAACAGG
rnacentral:rRNA from 1 species